rnacentral:rRNA from 1 species
UACGUAGGGGGCAAGCGUUGUCCGGAAUCAUUGGGCGUAAAGAGCGUGUAGGCGGCUCGAUAAGUCUGCUGUGAAAGUCCAGGGCUCAACCCUGGAAGGCCGGUGGAAACUGUCGGGCUAGAGUCCGGAAGAGGCGAGUGGAAUUCCCGGUGUAGCAGUGAAAUGCGUAGAGAUCGGGAGGAACACCAGUGGCGAAGGCGGCUACCUGGACCAGCACUGACACUGAAGCACGAAAGCGUGGGGAGCAAACAGG